UACGAAGGGGGCUAGCGUUGCUCGGAUUGACUGGGCGUAAAGGGCGCGUAGGCGGUUCGUACAGUCAGACGUGAAAUUCCUGGGCUCAACCUGGGGGCUGCGUUUGAUACGUGCGGACUUGAGUGCGGAAGAGGGUCGUGGAAUUCCCAGUGUAGAGGUGAAAUUCGUAGAUAUUGGGAAGAACACCGGUGGCGAAGGCGGCGACCUGGUCCGUUACUGACGCUGAGGCGCGAAAGCGUGGGGAGCAAACAGG
rnacentral:rRNA from 1 species